ACUACGGGAGGCAGCAGUGGGGAAUAUUGGGCAAUGGGCGCAAGCCUGACCCAGCAACGCCGCGUGAAGGAAGAAGGCCCUCGGGUUGUAAACUUCUUUUGUCAGGGACGAAGAAAGUGACGGUACCUGACGAAUAAGCCACGGCUAACUACGUGCCAGCAGCCGCGGUAAUACGUAGGUGGCAAGCGUGAUCCGGAUUUACUGGGUGGAAAGGGCGUGUAGGCGGGACUGCAAGUCAGAUGUGAAUUUCCAGGGCUAAACCCUGGAACUGCAUUUGAAACUGUAGUUCUUGAGUGAUGGAGAGGCAGGCGGAAGUCCGGGUGUAGCGGUGAAAUGCGUAGAUAUACGGAGGAAAACCGGUGGCGAAGGCGGCUUACUGGACCGUAACUGACGUUGAGGCUCGAAAGCGUGGGGAGCAAACAGGAUUAGAUACCCUUGUAGUC
rnacentral:rRNA from 1 species